GUGCAGCAGGCGAGAAAACUUCACACUGUGCGAAAGCACGAUGAGGGAAUCCCAAGUGCUUGCACGUAAGUGUAAGCUGUUUCUCUGUUUAAAACGCAGAGAGAGUAAGGGCUGGGUAAGACGGGUGCCAGCCGCCGCGGUAAUACCUGCAGCUCAAGUGGUGACCGUUAUUAUUGGGCCUAAAACGUCCGUAGCCGGUUUAAUAAAUGCCUGGGUAAAUCGUGUAGCUUAACAAUACGAAUUCCGGGUAGACUGUUAAACUCGAGACCGGGAGAAGUUAGAGGUACUCCUGGGGUAGAGGUGAAAUUCUGUAAUCCUAGGGGGACCACCAGUGGCGAAGGCGUCUAACUAGAACGGGUCUGACGGUGAGGGACGAAGCCCUGGGGCGCAAACGGGGAUUAGAUACCCGGGUAGUCCCUGA
rnacentral:rRNA from 1 species